rnacentral:rRNA from 1 species
GAGAACCUGCCUUAAGGUCGGGGAUAACAGUUGGAAACGACUGCUAAUACCGGAUGUGCCUACGGGUGAAAGAUUUAUUGCCUAAAGAUGGGCUCGCGUCUGAUUAGCUAGUUGGAGUGGUAAUGGCACACCAAGGCGACGAUCAGUAGCUGGUCUGAGAGGAUGAUCAGCCACACUGGGACUGAGACACGGCCCAGACUCCUACGGGAGGCAGCAGUGGGGAAUUUUCCGCAAUGGGCGAAAGCCUGACGGAGCAAGACCGCGUGAGGGAGGAAGGCUCUUGGGUUGUAAACCUCUUUUGUCAGGGAAGAACACAAUGACGGUACCUGACGAAUCAGCAUCGGCUAACUCCGUGCCAGCAGCCGCGGUAAUACGGAGGAUGCAAGCGUUAUCCGGAAUUAUUGGGCGUAAAGCGUCCGCAGGUGGUUGUACAAGUCUGCUGUCAAAGCGCGGAGCUUAACUCCGUAAAGGCGGUGGAAACUGUGCGACUAGAGUUCGGUAGGGGUCGCGGGAAUUCCCAGUGUAGCGGUGAAAUGCGUAGAUAUUGGGAAGAACACCGGUGGCGAAAGCGCGCGACUGGACCGAGACUGACACUCAUGGACGA